UGUGUAGCGAAUAGCCAGCUGAUUAAUUGAUGUCUGACGCUCCCUCUCCUAAAUCCUAAUAAUUGUCCAGACGGCGCUCCGCUUCCUCUCCCCACCAUCUCCACAAGAAACUAAUGAAUUGCCCUUUAAAGUCUGUUGGGCCUCACCUCAUUUCGUCCCCACCGUCCUCCAGUACGGCUGGGUCUCUACCACACCACUCAUGCUGCCUCCGGUACUACGUGCUCGACGAUGCCCAAGUAGCCAUCUUCCUUGGUUUUCCCUCACUGCAAAUACAGGCGCAUUCAGUUUCUGCCUCCUAAUGCUACAUACUAUUCCCAACUUCUCCUCGGUUGUUAAUUCUGGAAUUUUGCUACAUUCGGUUUUUUGCUCGGUGCACUCUAAUUCUUUAUAUGGAACGACUGAACACAUAUCGUAUUCUGCUGGUACGUUUUAUUGAUCGAUUGGCUUACCCCUUGAGAGAACUAUAUUAUCUAAGUGCAGCUCAAAGGAACAUGACCAUAGUCCUUCCAAAAGAUCCAACAAAGAGGAUGGACAGCAGGAGUAAACCAAACAUGCAGACCAAAUAGAUGUUAACAUGAGGAGGAGACAAUCAAAUAGGAAGGUUCUUCAUUGAUGGAUUAUGCUUAAAUGCACCGUGUUUCUCUUUGCCUUUCCCCAUGUUUUUCCCCCUUAAACCACCCGAGUCCCCAUUGCUCAAUGUGUAUUAGGGUAUUUUUAGUCAUAAUAAAUCUAUAAAUACCGAACUGUGUUUGUACCACAUUUCAAAUGUUAACAUCAGAAUCUCUAUUAUAAUGUCAUCUCUGCUCUUUAGCUAUUCAGCAGUAUAACCAUUUACUUUACACUUUGUGGUUUAACCUA